CAGGCCUAACACAUGCAAGUCGAACGAUGCUUUCGGGCAUAGUGGCGCACGGGUGCGUAACGCGUGGGAAUCUGCCCUUGGGUUCGGAAUAACCGUUAGAAAUGACGGCUAAUACCGGAUGAUGACGUAAGUCCAAAGAUUUAUCGCCCGAGGAUGAGCCCGCGUAGGAUUAGCUAGUUGGUGGGGUAAAGGCCUACCAAGGCGACGAUCCUUAGCUGGUCUGAGAGGAUGAUCAGCCACACUGGGACUGAGACACGGCCCAGACUCCUACGGGAGGCAGCAGUGGGGAAUAUUGGACAAUGGGCGCAAGCCUGAUCCAGCAAUGCCGCGUGAGUGAUGAAGGCCUUAGGGUUGUAAAGCUCUUUUACCCGGGAUGAUAAUGACAGUACCGGGAGAAUAAGCUCCGGCUAACUUCGUGCCAGCAGCCGCGGUAAU
rnacentral:rRNA from 1 species